GGGGGGUUUCCCGAGUGGUCAAAGGGGACGGACUGUAAAUCCGUUGGCUCAGCCUUCGCAGGUUCAAAUCCUGCACCCCCCA
rnacentral:tRNA from 1 species